AGUGAACGCUGGCGGUAGGCCUAACACAUGCAGGUCGAACGGCAGCACAGUAAGAGCUUGCUCUUACGGGUGGCGAGUGGCGGACGGGUGAGGAAUACAUCGGAAUCUACUUUUUCGUGGGGGAUAACGUAGGGAAACUUACGAUAAUACCGCAUACGACCUACGGGUGAAAGCAGGGGAUCUUCGGACCUUGCGCGACUGAAUGAGCCGAUGUCGGAUUAGCUAGUUGGCGGGGUAAAGGCCCACCAAGGCGACGAUCCGUAGCUGGUCUGAGAGGAUGAUCAGCCACACUGGAACUGAGACACGGUCCAGACUCCUACGGGAGGCAGCAGUGGGGAAUAUUGGACAAUGGGCGCAAGCCUGAUCCAGCCAUACCGCGUGGGUGAAGAAGGCCUUCGGGUUGUAAAGCCCUUUUGUUGGGAAAGAAAAGCAGCAGGUUAAUACCCCGCUGUUCUGACGGUACCCAAAGAAUAAGCACCGGCUAACUUCGUG
rnacentral:rRNA from 1 species